rnacentral:rRNA from 1 species
GACAGAGGGUGCAAACGUUGUUCGGAAUUACUGGGCGUAAAGGGCGCGUAGGCGGCCCGCUAAGUCGAACGUGAAAUCCCCGAGCUCAACUCGGGAACUGCGUCCGAUACUGGCGGGCUUGAAUCCGGGAGAGGGAUGCGGAAUUCCAGGUGUAGCGGUGAAAUGCGUAGAUAUCUGGAGGAACACCGGUGGCGAAGGCGGCAUCCUGGACCAGCAUUGACGCUGAGGCGCGAAAGCUAGGGGAGCAAACGGG